rnacentral:rRNA from 1 species
UUUAACCUGAGAGUUUGAUCCUGGCUCAGAACGAACGCUGGCGGCAGGCUUAACACAUGCAAGUCGAACGCCCUGGUAACGGGGAGUGGCAGAC